CAGACUCCAAGUUCUUCAGUUUUGAGACUUGAACUGACUUUCCUGCUCCUUAAGCUUGCAGACAGCCUAUUGCAGGACAUUGUGAUUGUGUAAGUUAAUACUUAAUAAACUCCUGGCCAGGUGUGGUGGUUCACACCUGUAAUCCCAGCUCUCAGAGACGCAGAGGCGGGAGGAUAGCUUGAGCCCAGGAGUUGGAGACCUGCCUGGGCAAUAUAACAAGACCCUGUUUUCCACAAAAAGUAAGAAAAAAAAAGACAAAAAAAGUAAGUGUAAUACUUAAUAAACUACUUUGUAUAUCUAUCCUAUUAAUUCUGUCUGUCUAGAGAACCCUGACUAAUACAGAGUCACAUAAAAAUAUGAGCCUCAGGCCGGGCACAGUGGGUCACACCUGUAAUCCCAGCACUUCGGGAGGCCAAAGCGGGUGGAUCCUGAUCUCACGUGAUCUGCCUGCCUUGGGCCUCCCAAAGUACUGGGAUUACAGGUGUGAGCCAUGGUGCCUGGCCCAUACUCAGAUUUUUUAAAGGCUCAAAGUAAUUUGGAAUUCCAACAACUUACAUUUUAAAUUACUUAUUUUCACAGAAAGAAUCUUUGUCAGUUGUCACUCACUUAUUUCUCCAAAGACUAUAGUCCUGUCCAGUGAUCCUCUCCAAGACAAUAGCUCUCUCUAGUAACUAUAGUUUUCCUUUCCCAUUUCAAUUUCCACUCCAAUUGACUGAAUUGUGAACACCAACUCCCACACUUAAAUGUUGAAGCCCUAACCCCCAGUGUGAUGGUUUAUGCAGCUGGGGCCUCUGAGAGGUAAUCAGGUUUAAAAGAGGUUAUGAGAGUGGGGUCCUUAUGCUGAGAUUAAUGCCAUUAUAAGAAGAGACACUAGAAAGCUUGCUCAUCCGCCUUCCCCAUGGUGCACAAAGAAAUGGUCACAUGGGCACACAGUGAAACUACAGCCACUUACAGGCUGUAGGAAGAGAUCUUAGAAAGAAAUCCGCUUUGCUAGCACCUUUAUCUUGGACUUCCCAACUUCUAGAAGUGUGAGAAACACAUUUCUAUAGUUUAGGCCACUUGGUAUAUGGUAUUUUGUUAUGGCAACCUGAACAGACUUAUACAACAAUUCAGUCCUAGAGGCAAUACAACUUCUCUGAUGAUUCCAGAUUCUGAGUGCCUCUCAGUCCUUUCUUGCGUUAUUUUGAUCCUGUCCAUAUAUUUAUAAAUAUUCUCUUCAUAAAACUCUCUGUAGGCCGGGUGCAGUGGCGCAUGCCUGCAAUCCCAGCACUUUGGGAGGCCGAGGCAGGCAGAUCAUGAGGUCAAGAGAUCGAGACCAUCCUGGCC
rnacentral:lncRNA from 1 species